UACGUAGGGUGCAAGCGUUAAUCGGAAUUACUGGGCGUAAAGCGUGCGCAGGCGGUUUGUAAGUCUGUCGUGAAAGCCCCGGGCUCAACCUGGGAAUUGCGAUGGAGACUGCAAGGCUUGAAUCUGGCAGAGGGGGGUAGAAUUCCACGUGUAGCAGGUGAAAUGCGUAGAGAUGUGGAGGAACACCGAUGGCGAAGGCAGCCCCCUGGGUCAAGAUUGACGCUCAUGCACGAAAGCGUGGGGAGCAAACAGG
rnacentral:rRNA from 1 species